GGGCGGGCGGGCGGCGUCCAAUUUUGUCCGGAGCAUAUUUCCUACAUGUAUGGAGGGAUUGUAAUGAAACUUCAUAGAAAUGUUCACCACUAUGAGGAGCAGUGUCGCGCACAUGAACCAGGUCUCUAGGUCAAAGGUCAAGGUCACACUUAGAGCUCAUUGAAAAAUGCUUGUCCGGAGCAAAACUUCCACAUGUAUAGAGGGAUUUCAAUAUUACUUGGCACAAAUGUUCACCAUUGUGAGGCGGAGUGUCGCGCGCAAGAUUCAGGUCCUUGCGGCCAAGGUCAAGGUCACACAUAGAGCUCAUUGAAAAAUGCUUGUCCGGAGUAAAACUUCCACAUGUAUAGAGGGAUUUCAAUAUUACUUGACACAAAUGUUCACCAUUGUGAGGCGGAGUGUCGCGCGCAAGAUUCAGGUCAUUUUGGCCAAGGUCAAGGUCACACAUAGAGGUCAAAGUUCAGAUAAAAUAUGGUGAUGUGUAUAUGGACCAUUUAGUCAUCAUUUAUUGGGGGAUUGUAACACAAAUGGUCAUUAUCAAGACUAUGGCUGUGAUACAUAUAAUUUAGGUCAAUAUAUACAAGGUCAAGGUCACUAAAGAUGAUGAAAUAACCAGAUUUUGUCCGGAGCAUAUCUCCUACACGCAUGGAGGGAUUUUAAUGAAAUUUCAUAGAAAUAUUCAACAUUAUGAGAAGCCAUGUCAGGCACAUGAACUAGGUCUCUAGGUCAAAGGUCAAGGUCACACUUAGAUCUCAUUGAAAAAUGCUUGUCCGGAGCAAAACUUCCACAUGCAUAGAGGGAUUUCAAUAUAACUUUGCACAAAUGUUCACCAUUGUGAGGCGGAGUGUUGUGCACAAAAAUCAGGUCCCUGCAGCCAAGGUCAAGGUCACACAUAGAGGUCAAAGUUUAGAUAAAAAUAUGAAGAUGUGUAAAGGGACGAUUUAAUCAUCAUUUAUUGAGGGAUUGUAACACAAAUGGUCAUUAUCAUGACUACGGCUAUGACACAUGUACUUUAGGUCAAUAUAUGCAAGGUCAAGGUCACUAAAGAUGGUGAAAUAUCCAGAUUUUGUCUGGAGCAUAUCUCCUACAUGUAUGGAAGAAUUUUUAUAAUACUUUAUGGAAAUGUUCACCACCAUGAUAUGUAUUGCUCCAUGCAUGAUCCAGGUCAAAGGUCAAGGUCACACUUAGAGCUCAUUGAAAAAUGCUUGUCCGGAGCAAAACUUCCACAUGCAUAGAGGGAUUUCAAUAUAACUUGGCACAAAUGUUCACCAUUGUGAGGCGGAGUGUUGUGCACAAAAAUCAGGUCCCUGCA